rnacentral:rRNA from 1 species
UACAGAGGUCUCAAGCGUUUGUUCGGAUUCAUUGGGCGUAAAGGGUGCGUAGGCGGCGCGGUAAGUCGGGUGUGAAAUCUCGGGGCUUAACUCCGAAACUGCAUUCGAUACUGCCGUGCUUGAGGACUGGAGAGGAGACUGGAAUUUACGGUGUAGCGGUGAAAUGCGUAGAUAUCGUAAGGAAGACCAGUGGCGAAGGCGGGUCUCUGGACAGUUCCUGACGCUGAGGCACGAAGGCCAGGGGGAGCAAACGGG